GGGGUUGUACUGGUUUCGACGGGGUUUUAGAAGUUAGAGAAGCCACCCGUGGACUAGGACCACGAUAAAACUUAGAAAAUUAAAAUUAAACGCAAACGAUAACGUAGCGUACGCUGCCUAGUGGCAGCUGUCGACCUUAAACCUCCCGCUGUUUAAGACUCGGCAUCGACUUUGCGGGGCACUUUCUUUCCAAAGCUUUGAGGUAAGAAAAGAUUUAUGAAGCUACUAAGGUUUUAAGCCCGUCUGCAGGCAUAAGACCAAGGGAAUGUUUAAUAUGCUGACUGUGGUGGGAGAAACUUUAAUGGAAGAGGCUUCGGACACGGGUUCGAUUCCCGUCAGCUCCAUAG
rnacentral:tmRNA from 1 species